rnacentral:rRNA from 1 species
UACGUAGGGUGCAAGCGUUGCCCGGAAUUAUUGGGCGUAAAGAGCUCGUAGGCGGUCUGUCGCGUCGGCUGUGAAAAUCCCGGAGCUCAACUCCGGGUCUGCAGUCGAUACGGGCAAACUGGAGUACUGCAGGGGAGACUGGAAUUCCUGGUGUAGCGGUGAAAUGCGCAGAUAUCAGGAGGAACACCGGUGGCGAAGGCGGGUCUCUGGGCAGUAACUGACGCUGAGGAGCGAAAGCGUGGGGAGCGAACAGG